rnacentral:rRNA from 1 species
AUUGAACGCUGGCGGCAUGCCUUACACAUGCAAGUCGAACGGCAGCACGGGAGCAAUCCUGGUGGCGAGUGGCGAACGGGUGAGUAAUAUAUCGGAACGUGCCCAGUCGUGGGGGAUAACGUAGCGAAAGCUACGCUAAUACCGCAUACGAUCUAUGGAUGAAANCGGGGGAUCGCAAGACCUCGCGCGAUUGGAGCGGCCGAUAUCAGAUUAGGUAGUUGGUGAGGUAAAGGCUCACCAAGCCGACGAUCUGUAGCUGGUCUGAGAGGACGACCAGCCACACUGGGACUGAGACACGGCCCAGACUCCUACGGGAGGCAGCAGUGGGAAUUUUGGACAAUGGGCGCAAGCCUGAUCCAGCAAUGCCGCGUGCAGGAUGAAGGCCUUCGGGUUGUAAACUGCUUUGUACGGAACGAAACGGUGAGCUCUAAUACAGUUUGCUAAUGACGGUACCGUAAGAAUAAGCACCGGCUAACUACGUG